ensembl:lncRNA
AGUGAUGGAAAGUAGGUUGUUGUUAUGGAGGGAACAGGGGAGCAAGGUGGGGAACAGGGGAGCGAGGUGGGGAACAAGGGAGCGAGGUGGGGAACAGGGGAGCGAGGUGGGGAACAAGGGAGCGAGGUGGGGAACAGGGGAGCGAGGUGGGGAACAAGGGAGCGAGGUGGGGAACAGGGGAGCGAGGUGGGGAACAGGGGAGCGAGGUGGGGAACAGGGGAGCGAGGUGGGGAACAGGGGAGCGAGGUGGGGAACAAGGGAGCGAGGUGGGGAACGGGGGAGAGAGGUGGGGAACAAGGGAGCGAGGUGGGGAACAGGGUAACGGGGCCAGCAUCGACAGAGAGAUGGGGAACAGGGGAGUGGGGCCAGCAUCGACAGAGAGGUGGGGAACAAGGGAGCGAGGUGGGGAACAGGGUAACGGGGCCAGCAUCGACAGAGAGGUGGGGAACAGGGGAGCGGGGCCAGCAUCGACAGAGAGGUGGGGAACAGGGGAGCGGGGCCAGAAUCGACAGAGAGGUGGGGAACAGGGGAGCGGGGCCAGAAUCGACAGAGAGGUGGGGAACAGGGGAGCGGGACCAGCAGGGCAAGGGAGGUCCUGUGUGGCUGGGAGCAUCCUGUCGUGUCCCUGGGUGGUUGGGGUGAUGGACGGCCCAGCCCGGUGGUGGCAAGGUGGGAC